GACGAAGGAUGCAAGCGUUAUCCGGAUUCAUUGGGUUUAAAGGGAGCGUAGGUGGUCUUAUAAGUCAGUGGUGAAAUCUCGCAGCUUAACUGCGAAACUGCCAUUGAUACUGUAGGACUUGAGUAUAGUUGCUGUGGGCGGAAUAUGACAUGUAGUGGUGAAAUACUUAGAUAUGACAUAGAACACCAAUUGCGAAGGCAGCUGGCUACACAAAUAUUGACACUGAGGCACGAAAGCGUGGGGAUCAAACAGG
rnacentral:rRNA from 1 species